rnacentral:rRNA from 1 species
UGGGGAAUCUUGGACAAUGGGCGCAAGCCUGAUCCAGCCAUGCCGCGUGAGUGACGAAGGCCUUAGGGUUGUAAAGCUCUUUUUGGCGGGGAAGAUAAUGACGGUACCCGCAGAAUAAGCUCCGGCUAACUUCGUGCCAGCAGCCGCGGUAAUACGAAGGGAGCUAGCGUUGUUCGGAAUCACUGGGCGUAAAGCGCACGUAGGCGGAUUGUUUAGUCAGGGGUGAAAUCCCGGAGCUCAACUUCGGAACUGCCUUUGAUACUGGCAAUCUCGAGUCCGAUAGAGGUGGGUGGAAUUCCUAGUGUAGAGGUGAAAUUCGUAGAUAUUAGGAAGAACACCGGUGGCGAAGGCGGCCCACUGGAUCGGUACUGACGCUGAGGUGCGAAAGCGUGGGGAGCAAACAGGAUUAGAUACCCCUGUAGUCCCUGAGCGGGCUGGCAAGGCGCAU